AUCGGGAGGAAACACUUCUGGAAGCCUGGGGUUGGCUCUGUUUCUCCAUGGCAUAAAGGACCUGCCCAUCCCUUCUUCCCUCCAGAACUGCCGAUCUUGAACUGGGACAAGUCCAUUUCCUGAGCGCUGGGCCCAGAGGAAAGACUAAAUAAAUAUCAACUACACUGUAUGUGACCAGCAUUCUGAAGCUUGUUUAGUGGGUCAGCUUGCUGCACUGGAAGUUGUUCUCUAAGGGCCCAGCUCUUACCUACCUCCGAGACCCAAGGACCGGGGCUGCAACGUAUCGAGGUUUGGGGAUUCCUGAGGUCCUAAAACCGGGUCUGAAUCACUGCUGCGGCCCCCUAGGGCUGGGGACCGCAAAAGCUCUUCACAUGGCUACCGAUUCACCUCGACAUGGGACAAAACUGAUGGUUGGCACGUUUUCCAGUUACCUAAACACGGAAGUCAUCUGAGGUGCCGGCUCUCCUCCUGACCUCACGUGGCUAGUUUCUACUACGGAG